AAAACGAUCCAAGCAACAGUUGAAACAAUUUGCAGCAUCCAUCCUUAGCAAUACCAACCUAUGUCCAAAAUCUCUGCCUUUGUCUUAGCUUUUGAGAAAAAUCUGGGGGAUUUCUUUCUAUUUAUAGCCCUGCUGGGUCUGUUCUGCAAUUUAACACGCAAUUUAACAACACGGCAAGCCUGGUAAGAGCAAGAGUAGGCUGAACCUGAGUUACUAAGCACAGCAAGUUGGGGCAAGCAUGGAGCCUGGCAGAAGUGCCAACAGCCCUCCCGAGGGAGGGAGGCAAUGUACACACACGCGCGUGUGCACGCUUCAUUGUUCAGCAAGUGAGAAUGAAAUGGGUGUGCCAUUAUGAGGAGCCACAGUGAUCUUCAGCAGCGCAUCCCAUUAAAACGAGGAUUUCCAGGAUUUCUCCAGCAGCUACAAGGGCCUGGGAAAAAGCCACAAUUUUUUUUUUCAGUGGAAGGUGAUGCGACUGUCACCUUUACUGGGACUUUCAACAUGUGCAGAGCAAUUGUAAUGGUAACACCACCUGAAAUGAGAAAGCUUCCUUCACCGCCGAGUGACCUGACAACCAGGGAAACAAGGAAUGUAGCUAGCCGGCUCUAUCAGGGCUACAGUAGAACUACAGAGCAUGUUUGUAUCGACAUUUAAAAAGAUGAGUAAGAGAGGGGAAAGAAAAUGAGACCAACAUUUCUAUCUA